UACGUAGGGCGCAAGCGUUAUCCGGAAUUAUUGGGCGUAAAGAGCGUGUAGGCGGCCAGGUAGGUCUGCUGUGAAAACUCGAGGCUCAACCUCGAGACGUCGGCGGAAACCAUCUGGCUAGAGUCCGGAAGAGGAGAGUGGAAUUCCUGGUGUAGCGGUGAAAUGCGCAGAUAUCAGGAAGAACACCCGUGGCGAAGGCGGCUCUCUGGGACGGUACUGACGCUGAGGAGCGAAAGCGUGGGGAGCAAACAGG
rnacentral:rRNA from 1 species